UUUAAGGUUUGAUCUGCCCUAUGAGGAAUUAAAUGGCCGCAGUAUUUUGACUGUGCAAAGGUAGCAUAAUAAUUUGUUUUUUAAUUGAAAGCUGGAAUGAAAGAUUGGACGAGAAAAUUACUGUCUCAGUUUUAUUUAGUUAGAAUUUUAUUUUUAAGUGAAAAAGCUUAAAUUUUUUUAAAAGACGAGAAGACCCUAUAGAGUUUAAUAAUUAUUUAAUUAUAAGUUUUAAAGAAUUUUUUUAUUUAUAUUUAGUUAUUUAUUUUGUUGGGGUGAUAGAAAAAUUAAUUUAACUUUUUUUAUUUAAGAACAUUAAUUUAUGAUUAUUUGAUCCAUUAUUUUGAUUAUAAGAUUAAAUUACCUUAGGGAUAACAGCGUUAUUUUUUUUUAGAGUUCCUAUCGAAAAAGAAGAUUGCGACCUCGAUGUUGGAUUAAAAUGAAUUUUUGGUGAAGAAGCUAAAAAAUUGGGUCUGUUCGACCCUUAAAAUUUUACA
rnacentral:rRNA from 1 species